rnacentral:lncRNA from 1 species
CGGGGUGUGAUGAUGAUGAUAAUGGAGGAUUAUGGUGAUGAUGGUGAUGAUUGAAGAUGAUGGUGUGGCGGGGUGUGAUGGUGAUGAUAAUGGAGGAUUAUGGUAAUGAUGGUGAUGAUUGAAGAUGAUGGUGUGGCGGGGUGUGAUGGUGAUCAUAAUGGAGGAUUAUAGUGAUGAUGGUGAUGAUUGAAGAUGAUGGUGUGGCGGGGUGUGAUGGUGAUGAUAAUGGAGGAUUAUGGUGAUGAUGGUGAUGAUUGAAGAUGAUGGUGUGGUGGGGUGUGAUGAUGAUGAUAAUGGAGGAUUAUGGUGAUGAUGGUGAUGAUUGAAGUGAUGGUGUGGCGGGGUGUGAUGGUGAUGAUAAUGGAGGAUUAUGGAUGAUGGUGAUGAUGAUGAUUAUGGGAGAUGAUGGUGAUGGAAGAUUACAGUGAUGAUGGAAGAUGAUGGUGCUGGUGGGGCGUGAUGGUGAUGAUAAUGGAGGAUUAUGGAGAUGAUGAUGAUGGAAUAUGAUGGUGAUACAAUAGCUAAAACUUGAGUGCUGACUUACAUGUCAGUAUUCUGGUAAGCAGUUUAAAUACAUCUCAUUUAGUCUUUGCAAGUGUUCUG